rnacentral:lncRNA from 1 species
GCAGGUCCAAACCACUGGUAGCAGCCCCUGGUAUAUCCAGGACAUCAGCACAUAGAACCAGUGAAAGGGUCCUCCCUCAUAGUGACGCAUGUCAUAGACUCAGAUUUAUACAAACAAAUGCUGAGCAAACCAUGAAGAGUCUCUGGUAUUUUCAACAAUAUCAUCACAGAGGAACUGUAUUGAUUUCCUUAAUUUUCCAGCCGAACUAACAGUAAUUUCAGUGACAUUAAAUACUGUUACAGGAACUUUUCAAAUGUAGAGGAGCCUUUAGAAGGAAGCCUUGAGCAUGAGGACAGACCCCCCUCAUCCAACCACCACCUGACUCUGUGUGAACCUGGAACUGUUAGAAUGUCUGUGCUGUGAUAAAAGGUCAUCUCCCUACAAUGUUAUGAUACAGACCUCAAACCUACAAACAUGAGGAACUUCUGCCUCCAGGUUAACUGCUUACCCACUGUACAAGACACGUUACACACAGUCCAGGAGGCGGAGCUUCUGAGAUAUCUAGAAACAGCUUAGAGGCAAAAUGACAAAAUAAAGCAGCAACAACAAAUAAAACCAAUCUUCUCGAACUGGC